UACAGAGGUGGCAAGCGUUGUUCGGAUUCAUUGGGCGUAAAGGGUCCGUAGGCGGCUUGGUAAGUUGGGUGUGAAAGCCCACAGCUUAACUGUGGAACUGCACUCAAAACUGCCAGGCUAGAGUAUGGAAGGGGUGAGGGGAAUUCCCGGUGUAAGGGUGAAAUCUGCAGAGAUCGGGAGGAACACCAGUCGCGAAGGCGCCUCACUGGUCCAUUACUGACGCUCAGGGACGAAAGCUAGGGGAGCAAAC
rnacentral:rRNA from 1 species